rnacentral:rRNA from 1 species
GAUGAACGCUGGCGGCGUGCCUAAUACAUGCAAGUCGAGCGAACAGACGAGGAACUUGCUCCUCUGAUGUUAGCGGCGGACGGGUGAGUAACACGUGGAUAACCUACCUAUAAGACUGGGAUAACUUCGGGAAACCGGAGCUAAUACCGGAUAACAUGUUGAACCGCAUGGUUCAACAGUGAAAGACGGUCUUGCUGUCACUUAUAGAUGGAUCCGCGCCGCAUUAGCUAGUUGGUAAGGUAACGGCUAACCAAGGCAACGAUCCGUAGCCGACGUGAGAGGGUGAUCGGCCACACUGGAACUGAGACACGCUCCAGACUCCUAAGGGAGGCACCAGUAGGGAAUCUUCCGAAAUGGGCGAAAGCCUGACGGAGCAACGCCGCGUGAGUGAAGAAGGUCUUCGGAUCGUAAAACUCUGUUAUUAGGGAAAAACAAAUGUGUAAGUAACUAUGCACGUCUUGACGGUACCUAAUCAGAAAGCCACGGCUAACUACGUG